UUUACAAAGAACAAGAAUGGAUCAUAGUAAGCUUCGCGCUGGAGUUUUUCACUUUCGACGUGUCUUGCAUUACGGGCUAAGUGAUUAACUCUAAAUCCUCCCAGUUUUUGGUCUUUAAAGAUUAAAUAUACAAGAAAACAAAACAUUAUUCUUUAUCUAAAUUGGACGCAUAAAGUUGAUGUGUCCUCUAAUUUUCUCUUUUCCCUAAUCAACCAACCACGUGCCCUUCUCUAUCACAUGAAUGUAUUUUAUAAGCACACAUAUUUAAAGUUUGACGUGUAUAUCAUCACUUUAUACACGUCUAAAUAUCUCUAUAAAUCUAUCAUAUAUCAAAAAAAAAAAUAUAUAAUAUAUCUACUCCUGAUUGGAUAAAAGUACGUUAUACAUAAUUAUUUUUUGCUAAGUGCUGUAUAAUAUAUAUUUGCUAAUUACUUUUAAAUUCAAAUUUCGCCAGAUAAUUUCCAAAAACGUAUUCCUCUUGUAGUCUUGUGUUAAUGAAAAUGUUUUUUUUUUGAACCUAUGUUAAUGAAAAUGUUGCUUUGAAUCAAAUAUCAUAUGCGCAUCAAUAACUAAUUAAAUAUAUACGCUUUGUAUUUGGUAUGCACAAGCGGAUGUUUUAGAUCAAUAUUAAUGAAUUGAUUUAAAAAUAAGUAAAUUAUUUUCCGCGGUAAUCACAAUAGUCUCACGUACAUACCCAUGUCAUCGGCCCUCUUGGUUUAACAAAUCACUAGAUCAUGAUCCACGCAGGUUUUAUUUUUGUUUUUAUACAUUUCGAGUUUGUCCAAUUCCUUUUUUUUCUUUAAAGAACAAUAUUUAAAUUGUGUUUUAUACUAGUAGUUUUUCAUCGGUGUAUUAAAGAUAUAACCGUGCAGUGAAAACACUAACAUAAUAUUAAGUAAUACGAUUUGGAUCGAAAUAACUGUGUAUUAUAAAUGUUCUGUGAAACACUAACCUAAUAGUAACCAAUACAAUUUGGAUUAACAUAUCAGUAUAUUAUAAACAUAGACAUAAGGUGAAAAUACUAAUCUAAUAUUAACAAAAAAGAAGAAGACUAACGUCCCUGAAGUCUUCAUUAUAAUUCUAAUAAAAUAAUUGUAAUAAUAAAAUAAAUAAGCAAACAAAAGUGUAUAUUUUCUUUAAAAAAUUAAUAGAUUAACCCCAUUCGGAUAUAUAAAUGUUUAAAUUGAUAGAUAUAACAAUUUUUUUUGGUCAAGUAAUUUAAAUAAAAAUGUAAUAAUAGAAAAAAAAUUAUGGUUUUAAUUUUUUUAUUAAUAGAAUAGUAUUUUCAAUGUGUAUGCAAGAAUUCCAAUAAAUAAAGAAAAAAUUAAGUGCAAUCAUAAAAUUGUUUUUGUUUUAUAUUUAAAUUGCAAUCUAACUAUUAUGAUCCAUAAAACAAAAUUUUAUUAUAAAUGCACAAGUCCAUAUCAAAACAAUAAGCCCAUAAGUAACAACAGUUGUCCAGGAAAAGAAAGAAUAAAAACGGUUAUCCUUUAUUUUCCUUUUUCUUCCUUUAUUUUCUUUUACAGACAUAAACGUGUCUUUUUUUUUGUACAAGUGUUUGUUCCUCUUCGAAAUCAUCAAUUCAAGUUUAAAGAGUAUCCGUAACCCGAUCAAAAUUUUGGAAGUCAGAGAACCCCAAAAUUUCUUUCUUCAUUCUCAUAAAACAGAGCAAAUGCAUCAACAUAUAUACUCAUAAAAGAUUUAUUGAUUCCUAUAUAAGAUCGGCUAUCAAUAUCCUCGAUUGAGAAAUUCACGGGUUCUUGCAUUCUCUAUAAGUUUUCUUUGUCUGUGUCUUUCUCUGAUCUGUUCGUCUUCCUCGAUAUCCAUAAUCAUCAAAGUAUCCUAAUAAAACGGGAGAAGCAUAAACGGGAGAAGCAUCAUGUAGAUACACAGAAGCAAUUCAGGAAUUUUCCAUGGCCACAAUGUCUUGCAUCAAAAUAUAAAGUAAGUUGUCUGGCAAAUUUAUAUUACUUUUAGAAGGUUUAAGUGGAACUGUAAAUGGUAGAUAGGUUUUUCCCUGGAGAAUGUUUGAUGUGAUGUAAUGUAUGUACUGUUUUAAAUGAAAAUUAUCAAGCAAAUAAUGAAUUAUUAUGAUAUGUAUUUAGAAAUGUAUGUCAACAUUGCGUGAAACACAAAUAGAUAGUUGUAGAAAACCAAAACUAACGAAAAAAACAAAAUUCUGGAUAGUAGCAAUUCUCACGCUUCCACAGCUCUCACUCUUCCACAUUUCUCACGGUUCCAAACCAUAAACUCACGGUGCAUUCCUGGAUAUACUCUUCAUCAUCAUCUAGCAACCCACGCGCAAAACAUGCCUCUUUAUAGCUAGGAUAUAGAACACUGUUAAAUGUUUUCAUGUCUUCAUAACUGGUAGGGCCUCUAACAACGUUCAGCAACACUCGCAGAUAAUAAGAAUUCUCUGGAUUCCGUGGAGCAUAAUUUAUUCUGCCUAUGCUGAAUCCCUUUUUUCGCCUACUGAACUUCUUCUUCGUUUUAUCAUAAGUAUAUAAGUUCGGAAUUUGAGCAUAAGUAAGAGUUCUUGCAAAUUCAUCAACUUUACACAAAUCAAACCAUGCCAAAAACAUGGUAUGUGUGAUAAGCUUACGAUUGACGACUUCUUGAAUCUUAUCUUUGCCUUUGAAAAAAACAGUCUGUUUUCCACGAAGAUGGAAUUGAAGCUUCUCAACUGAUGUAGAUCAAUAAUGUAUUGGGAAUGCAAAAGUGUGCCAUGAAGCUUCACAAGAAGAAACAUAUCUACAAAAAACACAAAUGAUUAUCAUGUUAUAGGAUAUGGCAUAAUGCUUUAAAAUCGAGCUUAAAUUAACAUUUAUGAAUUCAGAUACCUGCAAUCAAAAGAAUCUUGGAAUUCAUUUUUUUUCUUCUCAACGUUUGCUUCUCCAUCACUGCCACCAUUAGAUUCACCACAACCUGAUGGUUCCACAACGACAGUGACACGAUCACUACCCUUGUUGAUGUACUUAAAUAAGUACUUGAUAGAACCUGUUUGGUUGCACCACUCCACAUUAAUAUGAGCUUUGUAUAGAAGAGAGAGUUUCUUAUUGUAUGGGAUCACAAAUCUGUUAUCACAUUUCACGCCAUUCUUCAUCACAAAAUUAUCAGAGUGCUCUUGCCUUCUAUAAACAGGGAAACCUUCUUUAGUUACCGUAGUCUUCUCAGCAUAGGAUUUCGGAUACAACUUAGAACAUUUUUCAUUCUCCAUACAAGGUGCAUUCCUAUUAGCGUGACCACACGGUCCAUGAAUCAUCAUAUCUUUGAUAACACCAUACAGCUCUGGUUCAGUGUCCUUAUUAGGAAUUUUCUCCCUUAUAAUCUUGUCAAUAUCAUCAGUGGUGGGAAACUUGCAUGUAGGAUGCAUGAAGAGGAGAAUAUGAGCAUGUGGCAGUCCCGUUUUUGGAACUCAAUUGUGUACAUAGCUGAAACAUUAUAAACAGUUCAAAACACUUAAAUAAUCAAAUAAUUGUUAGUGCAUAAAUCAAUUUUAAUUAAUAAAGAGUGUAAAAUUAUAACUUACACGCAACCGUCUUUCCUAGCAGAUUUUUCUUAGUUAAAGCAUCCAUCAAAGAGUCAAGUUUGAUCUUAAACAUCCUAGAAAUUAUUUCUGGUCUGUCCUCUGAUGUUAACUUGCGCUCAUUUAGAUAUCUUGUGAUCUCUGGCCAUUUAGGAUUGCACGUGAAUGUAAUGAAGAGAUCUGGAAAACCAAAAUGCUUGCAUAUGGCCACUGCAUCCAAGUAGUUAUUCUUCAUAUACCUAGGACCUCCUGUAAACGUAGCUGGUAUCACAUAAAAAGAGUUAUAAAAACAAACUAUAAACAAUAUGUACAUUUUCAUCAGCAAAGAUGAACUCUAAUGUGUCGCCUGCAAAAGGUGUGGUUUGUUUUCAAGAAUGAAGCACUUUAACUCGAAUUUGCCAAUUGUGUCUGACAGGUUUCACACCAUCGAUUAGAACUAAAGUGCUUGGUUUAGACAUUUUGUUUUUUGGGAGCUUUUUGUGUAUGUCGAAUGAUGAAUACGAAGAGAAGUAUUUAUGGAGACAUUUUAGUGGGAGGUAAUGAAUAUUCCCUAACCUAUCAAGUUAGGUAUAAUAAAUACAAAAUCUCUAGAUUUUAUUGAAACCGAGAUUUUAGGUAUAGUAGAAUAAACUUGGAGAAGGGGGUUUUCCAUAUUAAUGAUUUUCAAAUCUGGCAAAUCGAUUUUAACAGAGAAUUUUAAAACUCCAUAUUUGAUUGUAUCCGAGAUUUUAGGCAUAUAAUACACAACUUGGGGAAGGGGUUUUGUUAUAAACGUUUUUUGGUAAGUAUAAACUGAUGUUUUUGUUAUUGAAAUAAGAAUAUACGGUUAAAAUCAAAUCCGGAGAUUUAAAUUGAUGUUUCUGUUAUUGAAAAUUAGAAUUAUACCAUGGACAAAUCUAGGUUAAAAUAAAAUUCGGUUAAAACCAAAUCCGGAGAUUUAAAUUUCUUGUUUCUUUAAAUUAUACCAUGGACAAAUGAUUUGGAUAUAUGACCAUAUCAUUUAAGUAACAUAAAUAAACUAUGUUGUUAUAGUUUUUACAAUAUAAUGACAAACAAUGAUUUAGAUAUACGACCAUAUGAGUUUUGUAACUUAUGAAGUUUUUUAAAAUAUAAUGACUACUCAAUGUUGCUAAUCCUGCAAUGUGAUAUGGAUCAAUGUAAAGAGAGGGUUUUUUAUAUAUUGUAACUAUGAUAUAAUAUAAGUAUGACAAUGUGAGUAUAUGUAUGUUAACGUUUCACAUUAAAGCCCGGGGUUUUUAAUAGAUGUUUUUUUAAUAUAUAUAUAAUAAUAGAUGCAUAAUGUGACGAAAUAAUAGUUGUAUAAUGUAUAAUAAGAUAGAUCCUACGGUGGAUUUAAAUAGAGUUAUAUGAUGAAGUUAAAUGGACUUUAUUGAACCGAUGGUUGAUAUUGAACCAAUUAAGGAAAUAUUUAAAUGUAAGGUUAGGCUAUGAAUAAUAAUGUGAUGUCCAACUUAAAAAUCCACCUAGAAGAAGUUGUAAUGUUUAUGUUUUAAUAAGAUAGAUAGAAAAAUAUGCGAAGAAAAAUGAAAAUCAUAUCAGAGUAUAUCCCAACUCUAAUUUGGACCAGCGAGGCCGAGGCGCCGCCACACCUAACCCGUUAAAUUCCAAUUCCAACUUUUUCGGGCCAUAUUUUUAAUAAAACGCACACAAGUAUCAUAUGAUCCACAAUUCGGCCCAAGUAUCACACUAUAGAUCUUUUAAAAAUGCUUAAAAGACCUUUAAUCAAUCACUAAGCAUGUGCAUAUACAAAGUUAUAUGGUGGAUUUAAAGUAAACUAAACCUUUUGCAAAUGGGCCUGAAAGAUCUGUCUAAUAUCUGGAGAAAAAAAUUAUAAAGUAAAAGGGCGAUUUUGUGAACAUCAAAUGCAUUACCCCCACCCCCUCCCCCCGGGGUACAUGUAGCUGAUUUGACUAGUUGAUGUGAUUUGGCAUUAAAGUGAUUUAACUAAUGUUAACCACAAACAAAAAAUGUGAUGGCAUUGAAGCCUAUGUGACAAGUCGGAGAGCUUGGCUAGAGUUGUUGAGGAUUGAAGAAGAUCAAGGGACUUGUGCUUUCCCCCUUUUCAAGAAAUCUAACCCAGUUCAGGCUGAACCCGAGAUCACAAGUUCCACAACCAAAUAGAAACACACAGCGCUUAUACUGAAAAGAACAGGGCAUACACGCAAAAUGGAUCUUGAAUAGAUAUUCUCAUGGCAAAAAAAAAAAACCUUAAGCAGUAGUUUCAAACAUUACAAGAGCAUGAACAUCCCAAGGUUCUCGGAGAGCUUUUUUUGAUAAAAUAUAGGCUCUACUGACGCGUGGAUCCCACAAAAAUUUAAAAACCGUUCUCCAAAAUCAUUAAAUAAGGAUCGGUAAUUAGGGGUUUUUGACACUGUUUGCGGAUCCCACCGACAUGUGGCGGCACGCGAUUAUUUUUUAUUUAUUUUUUUAAGAAAAAAAAAACCUUUAGAAUCCCUUGCGAUAAUCAUGGUCUAAGUAACUAUAAAAGGAAGAACAUUUAUCUUCCUCCAUAAACUCCUAAACCUACUCAAGUCAUUUUGACAGUUUUAAAAGACAUUCAAAUGCAAACCCAAACUCCAGAAGCAAUUUUAAAAAGUUUUCAAAACAAAGUGCAAACAUAACACUAAGGUAGCUAAACAAAGUGCAAACAAAAAUUGCUUGAUCCGCACUUAAAAUAACUAAUUAAUAAACAUGAAAAAACCAACAUAAAACUGCGACAAAAACCGAUUUAGAUAUAUUAAUAUUAUAUUAUUAAUAACUAAUUAAUAAACAUAAAAAAACAUCAAGUCACAUAAAUAGCAUAUAAUUUUUUUUAUAAUACAUUAAAUCCAUAAAAAAAAAUAUAUAAGGAUGCACAAAUUAUAUUCCAAUGUGGAUGAUACAAUUAACAGUUUACAAGACAAAAUAAAAUUAC